rnacentral:lncRNA from 1 species
UGAAAAAAAGGUAAAAGCGGAUAGAAUUUACUUGAAUUAUCAACUAUUUUGAAUCGGUUACUCAGUCUUUCAAAAUUUAAGUUUUACUAUCUCAUUUUUCAAUUUGUUUGACUUGAAUCAGCCAACGGCACGUUGACUUUAAAAUUUAAUCUAAUUAGUUAUUUAAUAAAUUUAUAGUUUUGAAAAUUGCAUAAAAUAUGCUAAUUCAAUAUGUGAAGAUAAACGACGCAUCCAAAUUUUAAAACUAAAGGAUCAUUGGCUGAUUCAAAUCAAGCAAAUUAAUUGAAAAAUCGAAUAGUAAAAUCAAACUAGCCAAUUCAAAAUGGCUCAUAAGUCUAUAUGUUUUUUUUUUUUUUAAGAAAAUUAAAAUAAGAGUUUUAUAGAUUUAUGAG